UAGAGUAGGACAUUGGUGAAAAGAUACCUGAAAAUGUGGAAGUGACUUUGGAACUGGGUAACAGGCAGAGGUUGGAACAGUUUGGAGGGCUCAGAAACAGACAAGAAAAUGUGGGAAAUUCUGGAACCUCCUAGAGAACUGUUGAAUGGCAUUGACAAAAAUGUUGAUUGUGAUAUGAACAAUAAGAUCCAGACUGAGGUGGUCUUAGAUGGAGAUGAGGAACUUGUUGAUGAGGAACUUGUUGGAAACUGGAGCAAAGGUAACUCUUAUUAUGUUUUAGCAAAGAUACUGGUGACAUUUUGUCCCUGCCCGAAAGAUUUGUGGAACUUUGAACUUGAGAGAGAUGAUUUAGGGUAUCUGGUGGACGAAAUAUCUAAGCAGCAAAUCAUUCAAAAGGUGACUUCAGUGCUGUUAAAAACAUUCCAUUUUAAAAGGGAAACAAAGCAUAAAAGUUCA